rnacentral:rRNA from 1 species
UAGUAACCGAACGGAUCGCAUUAUGGUCAUUCUUUUGUAAUGGCUGGCGAUAGAUCAUUCAAGUUUCUGACCUAUCAGCUUUCGACGGUAGUGUAUUGGACUACCGUGGCAGUGACGGGUAACGGGGAAUUAGGGUUCGAUUCCGGAGAGGGAGCCUGAGAAACGGCUACCACAUCUAAGGAAGGCAGCAGGCGCGCAAAUUACCCAAUCCUGACUCAGGGAGGUAGUGACAAGAAAUAACAACACUGGAAAUUUUAUUUCUAGUGAUUGGAAUGAUGGGAAUUUAAACCCCUUUCAGAGUAACAAUUGGAGGGCAAGUCUGGUGCCAGCAGCCGCGGUAAUUCCAGCUCCAAUAGCGUAUAUUAAAGUUGUUGCAGUUAAAAAGCUCGUAGUUGGAUGUCUGCUGGAAGCAAUCAGUCCGCCCUAUUUGUAGGGUGUGCACUUGAUGAAUUCUGGCAUUUUUGUCCCAAUGAUGUAACGGGGCGGUGGUACUCGGUGAAAGCCGAGUAUCCUGUUUUCCGAUUAUUGGGAUACUGUUACUUUGAGAAAAUUAGAGUGUUUGAAGCAGGCUAAUUGCCUUGAAUACUGCAGCAUGGAAUAACAAUAUAGGAUUUCGGUUCUAUUUUGUUGGUUUCUAGGACUGAAAUAAUGAUUAAUAGGGACAGUUGGGGGCAUU